CAGUCGCCGCGGGAACACGGAGGGGGCUAGCGUUGUUCGGAAUUACUGGGCGUAAAGCGCACGUAGGCGGCUUGGUAAGUUAGAGGUGAAAGCCUGGAGCUCAACUCCAGAAUUGCCUUUAAGACUGCCGAGCUAGCAGGUGAGAGAGGUAAGUUGAAUUCCGAGUGUAGAGGUGAAAUUCGUAGAUAUUCGGAAGAACACCAGUGGCGAAGGCGGCUUACUGGCUCAUUCUAGACGCUGAGGUGCGAAAGCGUGGGGAGCAAACAGGAUUAGAUACCCGAGUAGUCCCUGUCUCUUAUAC
rnacentral:rRNA from 1 species